rnacentral:rRNA from 1 species
UACGGAGGGGCUAGCGUUGUUCGGAAUUACUGGGCGUAAAGCGCACGUAGGCGGAUCGAUCAGUCAGGGGUGAAAUCCCAGGGCUCAACCCUGGAACUGCCUUUGAUACUGUCGAUCUGGAGUAUGGAAGAGGUGAGUGGAAUUCCGAGCGUAGAGGUGAAAUUCGUAGAUAUCGGAGGAACACCAGUGGCGAAGGCGGCUCACUGGUCCAUUACUGACGCUG